rnacentral:misc_RNA from 1 species
UCCGGUUUGUCACCGGCAGUCUCAUUAGAGUGCCCAACUAAAUGUAGCAACUAAUGACAAGGGGGGCCGUAUCUCUACGGCUUUCCGGUAUAUGUCAAACCCAGGUAAGGUUCUUCGCGUUGCAUCGAAUUAAUCCACAUGCUCCGCCGCUUGUGCGGGCCCCCGUCAAUUCCUUUGAGUUUUAGCCUUGCGGCCGUACUCCCCAGGCGGGGCGCUUAAUGCGUUAGCUACGGCACGGAUCCCGUGGAAGGAAACCCACACCUAGCGCCCACCGUUUACGGCGUGGACUAC